rnacentral:rRNA from 1 species
ACUUAUCGGCACGCGAAGGGGCCCCGAGUGCCCCGCAUGCUGGGUGUCGUUAUUUGUAAAUAACUGGCGAAGAAAGGGCCGGGGGGACCGGUGCCAGCAGCCGCCGUAAUAAUAA